rnacentral:lncRNA from 1 species
CCUGCAGCCCAUCUGGACAAGGAUGACGCAUGGCUACUCACCUCAUCACAGACAACACUAAGGAACCACAGAUUCUUCAAGGCACACAUCAUCAGCAGAUAAGAGGACGGCGAACUACAGCUGCUGAAUAUAAUCACAUCCGUGUCUUACUGAAAAUAGUGCUUUUGCUGUGUUGUACUUAAGAACAGUGGCACACCCACGAUUUAUCAUGCGGGCUUAGACCAGAAUUUACCUCCAAAUAGCUCAAGAUGCUAAAACCCCUCCCCUGUUUCUCCAUAGAGGACUGGGAUGUAUGUAUGGCUAUCUAUCAGAGCUGAUAUUUUGAAGUUAAGGCGUAUACUGCAUCUUUGUUUUUCAAAAAAAAGGAAAAAAAGAAAACCUAAAGGGCUCCCCAAGGUACAUCCCCCCCAGCUUGGGUGUGACACUGUUUAUGAAUGGUCCUUAGUAUACAAAUAGUGAGUGCUUCUUCACUCCUGUAGUGGAAGGAAUAGUUAUGAGAUGACAGGUGGAAUAUUCUCUUCCAGAAGGUGAAGCCGAAUAUUCCAUUUCAUCUCGUAAAAAAUGAUCCAUUCUGUUGCAGGAAUGUGAAACAUUCACAGCUGUAUAUUCAACGACUGAAUAAAACCUGGCAAAAAUCCCCUCAUCACAUAAAAAAAUUAAUAUAAAUUCCUUUCAAACAAAUCUGCAUAACUUUUGUGAUCACGCCAUGAAUGAUAUGAACAUGAAAUUAUGGCAGGUAGAAUGUUGAUCGAUCCAUUCCUAAACAUGGCCAGGUAGAUUAUUCAGUCGUUAAUUAACACAGAUGAUUCACAAUGCAGUUUACCACCCAAAGGUUGUCAUGGAGAGGCAUUUUUCAUGGUGUAUUAUGGGAUGAAUAGUCCACAAAAUCUCAUUCACUAACUGAGCUGUGCAAGGAAAACUUGAUUUUUUUUCGAAUGUUUGUUUAUCAUCGUCUUGAUUGAAAAUUCAAAAUUCCUUAUUGUGAAUAGAUGUUAGGUCGUCAAAAUGAUAGUUUUGUGGGUGCAGAAAACGCCUCAAUCAACUAUCCCCAAAUUACAUAUAAAAUGCACUUAAUCAUGGCUGCGUGUCGACCUUCAACUUGAAAGUGGCCUGUCCAUGGUCAACUCUUGGUGGCGCACUGUAUUGGAAAUCGCCUGUAUUAUUUAAUACUUAAUCAUAUUAUUACAAGUAAAAAUCUGUUCAAUACUGGGAAAUUUCUGAAAUUUGUCAAAAUUUGAUAAUGUCAUGAGGUGGUUAUUAUAAGAUAAAGGCCUUUCGAGAAGUCUUCAAUUUUUUUCACAUACCCAUCUUUAUGUGAAAGGCACAGCUGAUUAGAAACCACUUCACUAAUCACAAGUAACUGCUUGUUUCUUGUUGGGUAUCCAAAUGAUACAUUGGCUCCUUGGAAAUCCCAUGUCGGGAAAUAUACAGAUAGCAGACAUUUAUUUAGCCAAGAUAAUUGUAUUUGUAACAUUGUAAAUGUAGAUUUAGCUUAGAAAGCUUUCUUGAUCUCCUGUAAGGUUUUUAUUUAUGCACACAGAAAUUGACUACCUAAUUAAAAGAAGGGCCCAACUCCAACAAAACCUUUUUUGAGUUUAAAAAUAUUCAUUUCAUUUUCUAUUGAAGGAGUUCCAAACGAGACCAACUAACUCUCCUAGGCCAAAAUGUUGGAGUUGGGUCUUUCACUUUCAAAAUGAUUGGAGAGUAUUGCCAAAAUGAAACAAAUACACUACUCAAGAAAAGUUAUGGACUUUUUAUUUUGUCAUUUGACUUUUCCCUGAAACUUCCAUUUUGAGAAUGUGCAUUUGAUGUUUUGAAACAUUUUUAAAUGUUUAAUUCCAAUGAGAAGACCAUCUAGAUAAACAAAAAUGAAAGAACUAGACCCCACUCAUUGCUUGGAAAAAAAAUUACAAGUUCAGAAAAAGUGGUCCUUAACUUUUUUUAGUAGCAUAAUUUUAUCUUCUUUCUUGUCAUUCUAUUCGUUUGGUUGUCAUGUCAGGGAACAAGUUAACACAUGACUUAAAAUAACUGCAAAAUAAAGCUAUUAUUUUAAUGAGACGUACACAUGUUAAUUAAGUGAUUUUUAAACUUUCCUCUCAACAUGUUUAACUGCCUUCAUUUUCUACAGAAAAUGUUCCAAAUUUUGUUUUAAAAAUGUAAAAAUCAGUUCCUCAAAGAAGAGAGGGAAUAGUCUCUUUAUUCACAACAAGCAUGGGUUAUUCUGAUGUCGGAAAUGACUUUUCUCCAUAAAGUUAAAGGAGGUGCUUGGCUUUCAGAAUCUAAAAGAUAACAAGUUUGAAGAGUUUGGAAUUUUUGAUAAGUUUAGGGGCAUUAAUGACUCGGAGGGAUUCAUAACGUUUGUUACCAUGAGAAAAAAAUUUAAGGUUAGGGAAUCUCCCCCAUACACAGAGUAAAUGUGUUUGCCUGGUGGACUUAAAGCCCUCAAUGAUGCCAUCUGAAAUUUUCAGGAUCCUUUUGGUCUACAUAUUCAUGGAUACACUAAAAUGGGUGAGGACAUUCUAAUUACACGGUGUUCAUCAGUUUGUACAGUAACGCUUGUUUGCAUGAAUUUGCUGAAGCUUGCUCCUAUUAACCGAUUGUUUGUUUUCUUUUGUUCUGCAUGCUGUGUUAUGAUGUAUUAAAUUACUGACUGGUUGGUUUGCUUCAAACUGGCAAAAGGAUAAACACCGUGUGUUCUGAAUGUUGCAAUGAUGCAUUUGAAGAACCCAGGAUUGAAAGAAAACAUUUGUGGGUUAAAACAAGGAUGUACAAAAUAGUCAAAAGCAAUCUUUCAUUUGAACGGUGGCCGGGGGGGUAUCCCUGUACUUUGUAUCUUUCUACAAAUUUCUGUUUUCGCUAAAAGUUAAAAAUAAAGUUGACAGCUGUAUCCUGGUUGUAGGUCACAAGCAGCUCAACAUUAAUGGCACCCUUCAAAAUUAGAAAAUAAAGCAGUAAAUUUGGUAGCCCAAAAUUCGUAAUAUCACUUCCCAAAGAAAUUUUCUCCCAAAAUUUAUCUUAACUGAAAGAAAACCCCAAAACAGAAAAUUUAUUCCUAAUUAAAAUGUGUUUUUAACCUAAACUGAUGGAGAAUAUUUGUCCUAGCAAUAAGAUGUCACUUAUCAGAGACCAACAUUCACUGGGUCUAAAUUUGCUCGAUAGGAGAAACCAGCACAUGAUGGAAAUAAAAAAUGUUCACUGGAUUUCUCUGAAGAUCUUGAAAUGUAGGGGUCUUGGGAAACGUUUCAUGGGAGACUGGAUACUCUUAAUUUAACUGCACUUGGUGCAGAAAGAGUGCAUUUUUCAUUGUUAAACUCAAUUAUGUAGUUUUUGCCCAAAAAAUGGUCAAAUUGAACAUUUAUACUGUAACAUUUAUUUGUAGACCAAAACCUUUUGUACAAGAAUAAAUUGUACAGUUAUCAGGCAAACUUUGGAUGCAAAUAA